rnacentral:rRNA from 1 species
GCGGUUAAAAAGCUCGUAGUCGAAUCUGUGUCCCGCGCCGCCGGUUCAUCGUCCGCGGUGUUAACUGGCGUGCCGCGGGACGUCCUGCCGGUGGGCUUAGCUCUUGGCGGCCCAACUCAAUCCCGCCGCGGUGCUCUUCAUUGAGUGUCGAGGUGGGCCGGCACGUUUACUUUGAACAAAUUAGAGUGCUUAAAGCAGGCUAAAACUUCGCCUGAAUACUGUGUGCAUGGAAUAAUGGAAAGACUCGGUUUUUGUUGGUUUUACCCCGGUAAUGAUUAAAGGGACAACGGGGGCAUUCGUAUUGUUACGUGAGAGGUGAAAUUCUAGGACCGUAGCAAGACGACCUACAGCGAAAGCAAUUGCCAAGUUUGUCUUCAUUAAUCAAGAACGAAAGUCAGAGGCGAAGGUGAUCAGAUACCGCCCUAGUUCUGACCGUAAACGAUGCCAACUAGCGAUUCGCCGGCGGAUUAUUUGCCUUGGCGAGGAGCUUCCCGGAAACGAAAGUCUUCCGGUUCCGGGGGAAGUAUGGUUGCAAAGCUGAAACUUAAAGGAAUUGACGGAAGGACACCACCAGGAGUGGAGCCUGCGGCUUAAUUUGACUCAACACGGGAAAACUCACCCGGCCCGGACACUGUAAGGAUUGACAGAUUGAUAGCUCUUUCAUGAUUUGGUGGUUGGUGGUGCAUGGCCGUUCUU